rnacentral:rRNA from 1 species
ACUCCUACGGGAGGCAGCAGUGGGGAAUAUUGCACAAUGGGCGCAAGCCUGAUGCAGCAACGCCGCGUGAGGGACGACGGCCUUCGGGUUGUAAACCUCUUUUAGUAGGGAAGAAGCGAUGUGCUUGUCACAUCAUGACGGUACCUGCAGAAAAAGCACCGGCUAACUACGUGCCAGCAGCCGCGGUAAUACGUAGGGUGCAAGCGUUAUCCGGAAUUAUUGGGCGUAAAGAGCUCGUAGGCGGUUUGUCGCGUCUGCUGUGAAAACUGGAGGCUCAACCUCCAGCCUGCAGUGGGUACGGGCAGACUAGAGUGCGGUAGGGGAGAUUGGAAUUCCUGGUGUAGCGGUGGAAUGCGCAGAUAUCAGGAGGAACACCAAUGGCGAAGGCAGAUCUCUGGGCCGUAACUGACGCUGAGGAGCGAAAGCAUGGGGAGCGAAC